rnacentral:lncRNA from 1 species
AUAAACUCCCAUAUACAGAGGAAAAUGAAUUCUCACACAUCAGAGAAAAAUAAAUUCUCAAAAAUCAGAUCAGGAUGUGUAGACAUCAUGGAUGACAUCAUAGCAUAACAUAUUUCAUGAGAACAUAGAGCUAGAGGUUUCAGAAGCAGAUCUGAAACUAUCACACAUAGUAGUAGUAAUCACAUUUAAGUAUCACAUAUCUGAGCAUUAUCACAUCUGAUUACAACACAUCUGAACACAUAUAGUACUUCUCAACAGAAUGCACAUCCACACAAACAAUCAUAGCAUGACCAGUUCUCUUUCAGUCAUACUUUGAGCAAUAGCUUGGUCUCAUGGAAGAUCAUCAAGAUCAGUUUCUUCCACCACAGUAUAAACUUCAAUACUCCAAACCACCAUCUGGUUUAAGACUCUCAGAGCCAUAUUAACAUCAGUUUGGGGAAUUGUAGAACAGGUUUCAACAACACUAUCAGGUUGG